GGGUUGUGAGGUUAAGCGACUAAGCGUACACGGUGGAUGCCCUGGCAGUCAGAGGCGAUGAAGGACGUGCUAAUCUGCGAUAAGCGUCGGUAAGGUGAUAUGAACCGUUAUAACCGGCGAUUUCCGAAUGGGGAAACCCAGUGUGUUUCGACACACUAUCAUUAACUGAAUCCAUAGGUUAAUGAGGCGAACCGGGGGAACUGAAACAUCUAAGUACCCCGAGGAAAAGAAAUCAACCGAGAUUCCCCCAGUAGCGGCGAGCGAACGGGGAGGAGCCCAGAGCCUGAAUCAGUGUGUGUGUUAGUGGAAGCGUCUGGAAAGGCGCGCGAUACAGGGUGACAGCCCCGUACACAAAAAUGCACAUGCUGUGAGCUCGAUGAGUAGGGCGGGACACGUGGUAUCCUGUCUGAAUAUGGGGGGACCAUCCUCCAAGGCUAAAUACUCCUGACUGACCGAUAGUGAACCAGUACCGUGAGGGAAAGGCGAAAAGAACCCCGGCGAGGGGAGUGAAAAAGAACCUGAAACCGUGUACGUACAAGCAGUGGGAGCCUCUUUUAUGGGGUGACUGCGUACCUUUUGUAUAAUGGGUCAGCGACUUAUAUUCUGUAGCAAGGUUAACCGAAUAGGGGAGCCGAAGGGAAACCGAGUCUUAACUGGGCGUUAAGUUGCAGGGUAUAGACCCGAAACCCGGUGAUCUAGCCAUGGGCAGGUUGAAGGUUGGGUAACACUAACUGGAGGACCGAACCGACUAAUGUUGAAAAAUUAGCGGAUGACUUGUGGCUGGGGGUGAAAGGCCAAUCAAACCGGGAGAUAGCUGGUUCUCCCCGAAAGCUAUUUAGGUAGCGCCUCGUGAAUUCAUCUCCGGGGGUAGAGCACUGUUUCGGCAAGGGGGUCAUCCCGACUUACCAACCCGAUGCAAACUGCGAAUACCGGAGAAUGUUAUCACGGGAGACACACGGCGGGUGCUAACGUCCGUCGUGAAGAGGGAAACAACCCAGACCGCCAGCUAAGGUCCCAAAGUCAUGGUUAAGUGGGAAACGAUGUGGGAAGGCCCAGACAGCCAGGAUGUUGGCUUAGAAGCAGCCAUCAUUUAAAGAAAGCGUAAUAGCUCACUGGUCGAGUCGGCCUGCGCGGAAGAUGUAACGGGGCUAAACCAUGCACCGAAGCUGCGGCAGCGACGCUUAUGCGUUGUUGGGUAGGGGAGCGUUCUGUAAGCCUGCGAAGGUGUACUGUGAGGUAUGCUGGAGGUAUCAGAAGUGCGAAUGCUGACAUAAGUAACGAUAAAGCGGGUGAAAAGCCCGCUCGCCGGAAGACCAAGGGUUCCUGUCCAACGUUAAUCGGGGCAGGGUGAGUCGACCCCUAAGGCGAGGCCGAAAGGCGUAGUCGAUGGGAAACAGGUUAAUAUUCCUGUACUUGGUGUUACUGCGAAGGGGGACGGAGAAGGCUAUGUUGGCCGGGCGACGGUUGUCCCGGUUUAAGCGUGUAGGCUGGUUUUCCAGGCAAAUCCGGAAAAUCAAGGCUGAGGCGUGAUGACGAGGCACUACGGUGCUGAAGCAACAAAUGCCCUGCUUCCAGGAAAAGCCUCUAAGCAUCAGGUAACAUCAAAUCGUACCCCAAACCGACACAGGUGGUCAGGUAGAGAAUACCAAGGCGCUUGAGAGAACUCGGGUGAAGGAACUAGGCAAAAUGGUGCCGUAACUUCGGGAGAAGGCACGCUGAUAUGUAGGUGAAGUCCCUCGCGGAUGGAGCUGAAAUCAGUCGAAGAUACCAGCUGGCUGCAACUGUUUAUUAAAAACACAGCACUGUGCAAACACGAAAGUGGACGUAUACGGUGUGACGCCUGCCCGGUGCCGGAAGGUUAAUUGAUGGGGUUAGCGCAAGCGAAGCUCUUGAUCGAAGCCCCGGUAAACGGCGGCCGUAACUAUAACGGUCCUAAGGUAGCGAAAUUCCUUGUCGGGUAAGUUCCGACCUGCACGAAUGGCGUAAUGAUGGCCAGGCUGUCUCCACCCGAGACUCAGUGAAAUUGAACUCGCUGUGAAGAUGCAGUGUACCCGCGGCAAGACGGAAAGACCCCGUGAACCUUUACUAUAGCUUGACACUGAACAUUGAGCCUUGAUGUGUAGGAUAGGUGGGAGGCUUAGAAGUGUGGACGCCAGUCUGCAUGGAGCCGACCUUGAAAUACCACCCUUUAAUGUUUGAUGUUCUAACGUUGACCCGUAAUCCGGGUUGCGGACAGUGUCUGGUGGGUAGUUUGACUGGGGCGGUCUCCUCCUAAAGAGUAACGGAGGAGCACGAAGGUUGGCUAAUCCUGGUCGGACAUCAGGAGGUUAGUGCAAUGGCAUAAGCCAGCUUGACUGCGAGCGUGACGGCGCGAGCAGGUGCGAAAGCAGGUCAUAGUGAUCCGGUGGUUCUGAAUGGAAGGGCCAUCGCUCAACGGAUAAAAGGUACUCCGGGGAUAACAGGCUGAUACCGCCCAAGAGUUCAUAUCGACGGCGGUGUUUGGCACCUCGAUGUCGGCUCAUCACAUCCUGGGGCUGAAGUAGGUCCCAAGGGUAUGGCUGUUCGCCAUUUAAAGUGGUACGCGAGCUGGGUUUAGAACGUCGUGAGACAGUUCGGUCCCUAUCUGCCGUGGGCGCUGGAGAACUGAGGGGGGCUGCUCCUAGUACGAGAGGACCGGAGUGGACGCAUCACUGGUGUUCGGGUUGUCAUGCCAAUGGCACUGCCCGGUAGCUAAAUGCGGAAGAGAUAAGUGCUGAAAGCAUCUAAGCACGAAACUUGCCCCGAGAUGAGUUCUCCCUGACUCCUUGAGAGUCCUGAAGGAACGUUGAAGACGACGACGUUGAUAGGCCGGGUGUGUAAGCGCAGCGAUGCGUUGAGCUAACCGGUACUAAUGAACCGUGAGGCUUAACCUUACAACGCCGAAG
rnacentral:rRNA from 1 species